CAAGAAUGUUGAACCUUGACAAGAGAGCGAGUAAUUUAAAACUGUCACUCUGAGAAGGAAGCAUUUCACCAGAGGCAGAGAUGAAAAUGUUUCCUGCCGGCAAGUCCUGCCUGCUCUUUGGAGUAUUGCUGUGUGCCAAGUCCAGCACUGGAUCGUCAACAGAGAGCCAAGGUGACAGGAAUGCUCACCCAGAAGUGAUUACCACAUAUGGGCGCCUUCGAGGCAAGGUAACCAGCGUGAAGGGUACUGACAAGCUUGUGAAUACUUUUCUUGGAAUCCCUUUUGCAAAACCACCCAUUGGGUCCCUUAGAUUCACCCCUCCGCAACCACCAGAGCCCUGGAGUCACGUGAGAGAUGCAACAUCUUUUUCUCCAAUGUAAG